GGGCAAGCAGGACGCGCAGCCUUUGUUCUGUGAGCUGGAGCCGAGGAGCACAGGGACGGAGGUGGCCACCCCCUAGCUCCAAGCGCUGAUGUGUCUGUGCAUCCAUUGUGCUGUGGGACAUAAGUGCUUUGUGUAGUGUGACGUGAACGCCCGUCCAUGUGGAUGUGUCGUGCCUCGUGUCUGUUGUGUGUGGCCAGAGGGAGUGUGUAGAAUCCAGAGUGUAUAGUGAGCGUGAGAGCCCGGAAGCGCAGCCCCUGUCCCAAGCUCAGAAGCACCCUGAUCAGAGGAUGCUCUGCCCACCGGGUCUGGGAGCUGGGCUGACACUUCAGCACCAGCUGUAGUCACGGCUGGGGACCGGCUCACUUUAACAGGUCCAAGCCCCCUGGUGCCGAUUCAAGCUCCUCCUCUGCGAGGAACCAGUCCCUUCCUCCUGUGGCAGCCCUCAUGGGAGCCCUCACCGUUGACUUGCUCAGGUCUGGACAGCCCUGUUCCUGGUCACAUGUAGGUGUCUUUCAUCCUUGCUCCCCUGGUGAGAGAUGGGGCUUAACCGUGCCCAAUGCCUGCAGGAAAGCACACCUUGAGGUCUCAGAGGCUGGGUCCUUGUGUGCAGGUGUGAGUGGCAGGCGCAGGAUGCCCAGGCUUCCUCGUGUCCUGUGCCACAGUCUGCUCAGUGACUCUGGAGGUGGCUUAGGGGUCAUGCGUGGAGAUGGAUGCUCUGAAACACUUGCCUCCAGGCCUCCUGAGCCUUCUGUCUUCAGCCCAGCUGGAAGGACUGCGGCAUCUUGGGAGGGACAGAGUGCAGAAAUGGCAGGUGGUUGAAACUCCACAUGUCCCGACAGGACCCUCCUCGAGACAGACCUCCCUCUGCGUGCCCUGUCCCUGGGGUCACCUCUGCCUCCAGCAGCCUUGAGCUUGCCCCAGGCAGUGGGCACCAUUAUUUCCAAAACAGGCACAAAGAUGGCUUUUGGAUCAAAGAAGUGUUUCUCAGUGAAAUAAAAAGAGACUUUCUGUGACCUUUA